rnacentral:rRNA from 1 species
GACAGAGGGGGCAAGCGUUGCUCGGAAUUACUGGGCGUAAAGCGUGCGCAGGCGGUUAUGCAAGACAGAUGUGAAAUCCCCGGGCUCAACCUGGGAACUGCAUUUGUGACUGCAUGGCUAGAGUACGGUAGAGGGGGAUGGAAUUCCGCGUGUAGCAGUGAAAUGCGUAGAGAUGUGGAGGAACACCGAUGGCGAAGGCAGCCCCCUGGGUCGACACUGACGCUCAUGCACGAAAGCGUGGGGAGCAAACAGG